ensembl:lncRNA
GACACAUCCAGCUCUAUCUCAGAACAUGCAAACUCCAUAUACACACACACAGGGAGGGAAUCGAACCCCGACCCUCGAGCUGUGAGGCAACCGUGCUAACCACUAAACCGUGCUAACCACUAAGCCACCGAACAAAUCGAAAGUGAAGCUAUCUGUCGGUUGCCUACGGAAAGUCCCGACAUCGACGCGCCUGUAUGCCAGUCUUACAUGAAAAGGUCUCCAUUUAUUCUUGAAGAACAUACCUUUAAGAAAACACACCACAGACCCCUGAAAAUGAGUUCCCCUAAUGAUGAUGAAGAUAAAGAUGAGAGAUAUCAGGAAGAAAGUUCCAGAUCACCUGAUCCCAGCGUCGUGUCUAUGAAGAAUGACAAGUCAAUAGAUUUUCCAAUAACGUUUCAAG